ensembl:lncRNA fibrous sheath CABYR-binding protein-like
UACUUCAAAAUUGUAUUUAAGUACUUCCUUGUAUGUAGCCUACAGUUAGCCUACUUUCCGCUUCUGGUGGCAUUAUUACCUCCUUCUCUUUCGGGGUGCUAACGACUCCUCAUACAUAUCAUUUCCCUAUUUUCCUCUUUGGCAUUAAACACUCUUCAUACCCAGCGCCGCACAACGUACAUUGCGCAACAGAGUUGUCAAAGUCUGGCCUCCGCCUCUACCCACGUUUCUCUGAGAAGACCUGCCCAGAGCAGCCAUUCAUCCAGCUUAUACUAAAACUGCAGCAUUCCCACCGUAGCCCGGAGUGCAGCUAUGUUUUCCUGCAGAGCGGCCUGGCAAAGGUGUGGGCCUCUGGCUCGGAGAGCAGCCUACAGGUUGCCCCGGGAUGUUGUGCAGCGGCGACCAAUGUCCUCACUUCCUGGUGGGUCUGGGGACAACAUAGUCUACACCUUGCUGUGCGGUGGAGUCUUUGUUGCCUCUGUGUCAUAUGUAUACAGCACUUUGUCCACGGACACCAGCAGGUACAAUGAUCGCAUUGAAGAACUCGAAGCCAGACCCAAAACAGAGUGGGUCCCUAAACCACCACCUAAAAGUGGGGACGAAGAACAGGUGUAAUGGUAAAGCUAAGGUCCUCUGUGGCCGCAUGGAUAUUCGUCCUAGAACUGGACUCUUUGGAUCUGAAAAGGAAAACAAAAUCCCUGUCCUCCUGUCCUCCCCUCCUGUACUGCUAAGAAAGAAAGAGUGCUGUACUCAACCUAAAACGUCGGGACAUUUCUGUGAUGGAUUUUUAUUUAUUUUUUUGCCUCCUAGCUGCUAAAUCUUAAUCUGUAAAUCUGUGAAGAAGAUGAAUGGACUUGACAGAAGUAUCCAAAACCAAUUUUGACAUUUUUCUUUUGUCAAUGGACCAUCAUUUUCAACACCACUCUGGGGUUAAAUGUUUAAAAAAAGUUGCAUUGUUUAUGUGGGACAUUGGCCAUGCUAACACAUUAGCAUGCACUAUUGUGAGAGAUGGCAGUCCAUUAGCACCAUCCAAGGGGCUGUGGGACUGUUUAAGGUGAACAUGCAUUUCAAAUCUCAAAGGCCUCUUUCAAAAUAUAUUAUACAGUAUACCCCUUCAGUGAGGCUUUAAAUAUUGGCAACCCUUUUUAACAGCAGUGGAGUUUUCAGUUUGGAUAUGGAGGAUAACAUUGCAAGCAGAUUAAAUGGCUGCGAGUUGCCUCCUCAUGAUCUCUGCUCCACGAGCCACAGAGUUGAUCUUUUCAUAGAUUCUAUGAAAGAAAGAAAAUACUAGAAAUAAUCUUGGCAUUUGUUUUAAAUUUUUUAUAAACAUUUACCCCAAAAUUAUAUCACUUAAAAUACACUCGAACACACAUAAGCCUGUAUUCGCUAUUAUCCACGAGACUCUCUUUCAAAUGGAACAUUUCAGUGGGGAAAAGAGUUCUGGAAGUAGCAGCCCCUCAACAGAGUUGGCAUUUAUCCCAUUAUCAUGAAAUGCCAACGUGCCCGCAGGUUAAUAUCACUCCCAAUAGUCAAUAGUCAAGUGUUGAGCACCAGAGUCGAAGGGUCCUGGGACCGUCUCCUACAGCUGGGAGUAUUUGUGUUGAUGGUUAAUGUAGAACAAAUGUUGGGAUCUCUUCAUUAAAGAUGCACAACCUACCUGCGCUGUCUCACUGUCCGACUCACUUUCAGAGAUCCAGAUAACGCUUAGUUUAUUUUAUUGGAUGGUAAGAACCAAGAUUCAACUUCACCCCCUUCACCCUGCACCUUAACCCCCUCUCCUCUCUCCUCUCUCCUCCCCCCAACCCCCCCCCCCCCCCCUCUGUCUUGUCUGUCGUUCUCCGACCUAUCAUUGGGUUUGCAUGCACUUUAUGUAGUGAAUGUGUUGCCUCUGUUCUUCUGAUGAAGUAUUUGCUGAGGCUGUGGGCCUUUUUGCCGUGGCUUGUCUAGAAGUAGUCCUCCUUGAUCAGCCUGCUGGGAAAACAUGAUCAUCUGUUAGUAGCUAUGUUUCCAUCCAACUGUCCAUCUGUCUCGUUUUUACACAGUUGAUAUACUCCUGUUAUACACAGUGUCUGACUUACCAAUGAAAGGCAGCAAGUUGGAAAGAGUUGAACCAUCAUAAACUCUGAAUGCAACAGCAAAGAGCUGCUGUGGGGUUUUCAUUGAAAACUGCUGACUAUCUGAAGGCCCCUGACAUUUGACAAAUGAGAUAUUCAGCACACGGGUUAGUUUUCAAUUUAUUCAAACUUGACUUUAUGGAACAGUUGAAAUUGUUCUGAAACCCACGUACAGUAAGUCAUCUCUGAUUUGUAACUCUUUUAAUACUUUCAGGCUGCUUUAGUUUUUCAUCCUUUUUCUUUUAUCCAAGAUUUUUCCACCUAUGGUGUUGAAUCCAUAAAGCUUCCAGACAUCACUUCGAUGAUUUAUCUGUUUAGCACAACUUGCUAGUUAAUGGAGCAUGCAAUAGGAAGGCCCCCCACUUUGGAACAAGGCCUGAGCUGAUGCACUGAGACCGCUAACAAUUACAUCAGAAAGCUCAUAAAGCCUGACUGUAAAAAAACAAAGUCCAGUAAACGGUCGGGUGGCAUGGACUCACUUGCUGACCAGUGGGGAGGAUUCUUUACCCCACAGUGACUUUUUAAAUUCAGUAAGAUUAUUACUGGUCAAUUAAUUAUUUUCCCUAAAAAAAGAUUGACAGCCCUACUACCUUUGAGCAUGCAUAAAAAAACAUUUUGUAGGUGUUACUAAACAUUUCAUCAGUUUCAUAGUUUCUCACACCGUGGAUGGAAACCUAGCUACAGAUAAUUUGGGCAGCACAAUAUAUCGUUUUUAAAUUAAAGAAAUGUUAUCAUCAUUGUGAUUCUACUUUUGCUAUAAACGAAUUGGAAAAUACUGCGAUAUUGCACUCAUUUGGCAUGUUUAGUUAGUUGAAAUAGAGUAGAAAACAGCACUAUAAAAUGUAGCAAUCAUACUAUUUAAAAAUAAAUUGGUGCCUUUUGAGUAACAACAAGCAAUCUGUUGUAUUUUAGCAGUAUACUGAACGUAGCACAAAUGAGUACAAUUAAUAUCCUUAUCGCAAUAAUCAGCUUUAUCUUAUAUUUUCUUCAUAUUGUGCAACUGAUAACUUAUUAUUAAUAUUGUAUAAUGCUGCUUUUUAAAUAAUAAUCUAAAUAUCAUUUGAAAAUGUAAUGCAGCUUUCAAACUGCAUGUGUGUGUAGAAAGCACAGUGGCUGCACCAGUGAUUCAUAUUGUUGAGGGUGGGAGGCUGCUCACUGUAGUAGAGAAUGUGUGAAUGAAACCAAUGCUCUGGCUAAUGCACGUCUUCUGGUUCUUGUGUUCCAGCUGGAGAGGAGGAGGAGGAGGAGGGAGCGGCAGCUGAGGAGACCGGUGAAGAGGCUGAGGUUGGUGGAGAGGAGGCUGCUGAGGGCGAGGCAGAGACUGUAGUGGAAGCAGUCGCUGAGGCAGUCGCCGAGGCUGCCGAGGUCGUUGCCGAGGUGGCAGAAGAAGUUGCUGAAGCUGCGCACGAAGUGGAGACGAUCGCAGAAGAAGUGGCUCAAGUGGCCGAAGCUGUCGAGGAGGCUGCCGAGGCUAUCGCAGAACCAGCCGCCGUCGCUGCUGAGGAGUCCGAUAGCAACGGUACGACUUCUUCACCUGAGGAGGAGGAGGAGGAGGAGGCAGCUGCCGCUGAGGCCUGAGGUUCCACACAUUCACCACAGGGAGACGCACACACUACCACUAUUUCUAAACCACUAAAGGGGUUUCUCUUCCCUCAACACUGGGAAUAAUAACAGCGGUAACUUUCCGUCACUGUCUAGAACCACUAAAGGGUUAGCUGCUUCUCCUCAGGUGCCUGGGUUCACCUCCUUAUUGAUCUUCUCUUUUGUCUUCCGAAAAAUGGAUAUUUUCUCUAUUUAAUUUAUUGGAGUGGGUAUAGCGGGCAGCACUACAAAUGAAGCGUUGUUUCUGGUGUGCAGCGUAGAUCACUGUGUGAUGUAUAUUUGUUCAGAUUAUUAUGGGGCCGAGAGAUGUGUAAAAGCAGCAAAGCCAUCUUCUCAGCAGGUUCCUCUUGAUUUACAGCUGCACGCCACAGUGAGGCAUUUCCAAAGUGGCAGUGAGGGACUCCUCUUUAUGGGACUCAUUUGCAGUUAUGGGUGAAAUAAAUGUGAUCACUGUAAAUGCAACAUACAGAUACAGGCUCUUAUUGCACACAGUUCACAUGACUGAAAACCAUCUAAUUCACCUGUGAGAACACCACAAGCCUUUUAUCAGGUUCAACCAACCACACACCAGUAAAUGGACUCUGAGAACAAGCAGGAACACCCCAUAAAUGCUGUGAAAUCAUUGGUUUCUUUUAGUGAUGAUGGCCAUCAUGCUAUUUUACGAGAUUUGACCAAACACUGUAUUCCAUUGAAACCUCUGUAAUGUUGUACUUCUUUGCCAGGUAUCGCAGAGUAGGCGUUAUUCUUAAACUGUCGUACAGUUGUGUUUAUCGUACAGCAAGAGGAGAUGGCUCUGUACAAACUCUGUAACUGCUGCAGUGUGUUCUUGUCCUGAAGUGUAAUGUGAAACUCCUAAGAACUCAUUAGGUUACAAGUUAUUCAACCCAUAUGUGAUCAUAUUUUUAUUUUGCUUAUAACUGGAUAAUGAGAUAACUGUGAACAGUAAUUCAUCAAACUUCACAAUAAAACUUUUAUCAAACCGGAAAGGUUUACUGCCGUCUUUGAUUUGUUUGAAGUAGUCUGUUUACUGUAGCUUUUAAGUAAGGAUAUUUCUAACCAUUCAUUCCAGUUUAGAAAUAACGUCUUUGAUAAUGUCUUUAAAAAAAAAAAAGGAAAUGUAUAUAAAUGUAAUCUCAUAUUGAAUGCAAGUCUUCAGUGAGCUUAUGGAGACAUAAGAGAUGCAAGCUUGCUCUUCUUUGCAUUUUAAUCAGCCUGAUUUUAAAAUGCUCACUUAAUAAAUGCAUGUUGAAUGCAUGGCAUUUCCUUCUCACGGCUCUCUGCACCCUACUCGACUUUGCUACGCUGUCAGAAAUGCACUGGGACUUCUGUAAUCUAGACACAACCCUCACUUUUGGCACGGUUUGCACUUUUAGGGAUAAACAGUAUGCAUGAUGACCUAAUAGUAUAUUCCAUUUAUGUGGUUCCCAGUCUCUUCACAGAUAUUUUAUAUCAGUGCUGCUGUGUAUUUGAUCAAAUUACUCACAAGAAAACGCAGUGACUAUAAAACAUGCUGUACCUUUGACAACACCUCUUUAAUAUCACAUUUAAGAAAUCUUAAUGUUAUACGUUUAUGUAAAAACAUACUUUAUCAUCUGAAACUUUUAACUUCUUCCACUGCUGCGGGUUGACUUUGCACAUGCAUGUAGUCACUAUACAACCAGAUUUUCUGGCACUAGAUCCCCCUAUCCCUAAAAGUGAAAAGUCUAAACAUGUUUACCUUUACCUGAACACCACAAGUUGUGGGAGCAAUAUAACU